UUACGGCCAUAUCACGUUGAAACAUCGGUUCUUGUACGAUCACCAAGGUUAAGCAACAUUGAGCCCAGUUAGUACCUAGAUGGGUAACUACUUGGGAAUAUCAGGUGCUGUAA